GCAGAGCAGCGGCCCAUGCCCGCUGAUGCGUGUGCCGGAAUGCCCCGCAGGUGGGGCAAGCAUCGGC
ncrna:Chryseobacterium taeanense ARB2 Burkholderiales-2 RNA